CCUACGGGCGGCUGCAGUGGGGAAUAUUGGACAAUGGGGGCAACCCUGAUCCAGCCAUGCCGCGUGUGUGAAGAAGGCCCUCGGGUUAUAAAGCACUUUCAGUGAGGAAGAACGCCUGGUGGUUAAUACCCAUCAGGAAAGACAUCACUCACAGAAGAAGCACCGGCUAACUCCGUGCCAGCAGCCGCGGUAAUACGGAGGGUGCGAGCGUUAAUCGGAAUUACUGGGCGUAAAGCGCGCGUAGGUGGCUUGAUAAGCCGGUUGUGAAAGCCCCGGGCUCAACCUGGGAACGGCAUCCGGAACUGUCAAGCUAGAGUGCAGGAGAGGAAGGUAGAAUUCCCGGUGUAGCGGUGAAAUGCGUAGAGAUCGGGAGGAAUACCAGUGGCGAAGGCGGCCUUCUGGACUGACACUGACACUGAGGUGCGAAAGCGUGGGUAGCAAACAGGAUUAGAUACCCUGGUAGUC
rnacentral:rRNA from 1 species